AAGUCGAACGAUGAUAUCACUGCUUGCAGUGAUUGAUUAGUGGCGAACGGGUGAGUAACACGUGAGGAACUUGCCCAUGAGCGGGGGACAACAUUCGGAAACGGAUGCUAAUACCCCAUAGGUGGAUUGGUCGCAUGACGAAUUCAUUAAAGGUGGCUUUGCUACCACUCAUGGAUAGCCUCGCGGCGUAUUAGCUAGUUGGUAAGGUAAUGGCUUACCAAGGCAGUGAUACGUAGCCGACUUGAGAGGGUGAUCGGCCACACUGGGACUGAGACACGGCCCAGACUCCUACGGGAGGCAGCAGUAGGGAAUCUUCCACAAUGGGUGCAAACCUGAUGGAGCAAUGCCGCGUGAGUGAAGAAGGUCUUCGGAUCGUAAAGCUCUGUUGUUAGAGAAGAACACGUGCUAGGUAACUACUAGCGCCUUGACGGUAUCUAACCAGAAAGUCACGGCUAACUACGUGCCAGCAGCCGCGGUAAUACGUAGGUGACAAGCGUUGUCCGGAUUUAUUGGGCGUAAAGGGAGCGCAGGCGGUCUGUUUAGUCUAAUGUGAAAGCCCACGGCUUAACCGUGGAACGGCAUUGGAAACUGACAGACUUGAAUGUAGAAGAGGAAAAUGGAAUUCCAAGUGUAGCGGUGGAAUGCGUGGAUAUUUGGAGGAGCACCAGUGGCGAAGGCGAUUUUCUGGUCUAACAUUGACGCUGAGGCUCGAAAGCGUGGGGAG
rnacentral:rRNA from 1 species